UACGAAGGGGGCUAGCGUUGCUCGGAAUCACUGGGCGUAAAGCGCACGUAGGCGGCUUUUUAAGUCAGGGGUGAAAUCCUGGAGCUCAACUCCAGAACUGCCUUUGAUACUGAGAAGCUUGAGUCCGGGAGAGGUGAGUGGAACUGCGAGUGUAGAGGUGAAAUUCGUAGAUAUUCGCAAGAACACCAGUGGCGAAGGCGGCUCACUGGCCCGGUACUGACGCUGAGGUGCGAAAGCGUGGGGAGCAAACAGGAUUAAGAAACCCCGGUGAGUCCCAGAACCGAACG
rnacentral:rRNA from 1 species